GCCUUCGUGGUGUAGUGGUCAGCCCGCUCGACGCGUAACCGAGAGGUCCGUGGUUCGAUUCCCGGCGAAGGCG
rnacentral:tRNA from 1 species